UACAGAGGUGGCAAGCGUUGUUCGGAAUUACUGGGCGUAAAGGGCGCGUAGGCGGUCUUCUAAGUCUUGUGUGAAAUCCCUCGGCUCAACUGAGGAACUGCACGGGAUACUGGAAGACUUGAGUUCGGGAGAGGGAAGCGGAAUUCCAGGUGUAGCGGUGAAAUGCGUAGAUAUCUGGAGGAAUACCGGUGGCGAAGGCGGCAUCCUGGACCGAGAUUGACACUGAUGAGCGAAAGCUAGGGGAGCAAACGGG
rnacentral:rRNA from 1 species